GAUAAUAUUUUGAACCGCAUGGUUCAAAAGUGAAAGACGGUCUUGCUGUCACUUAUAGAUGGAUCCGCGCUGCAUUAGCUAGUUGGUAAGGUAACGGCUUACCAAGGCAACGAUGCAUAGCCGACCUGAGAGGGUGAUCGGCCACACUGGAACUGAGACACGGUCCAGACUCCUACGGGAGGCAGCAGUAGGGAAUCUUCCGCAAUGGGCGAAAGCCUGACGGAGCAACGCCGCGUGAGUGAUGAAGGUCUUCGGAUCGUAAAACUCUGUUAUUAGGGAAGAACAUAUGUGUAAGUAACUGUGCACAUCUUGA
rnacentral:rRNA from 1 species